rnacentral:rRNA from 1 species
GACGAACCGUGCGAACGUUAUUCGAAAUCACUGGGCUUAAAGCGCGUGUAGGCGGGACGGCACGUCUGUCGCUGAAAUCCCCCGGCUUAACCGGGGAACUGGCGGAGAUACGACCGUCCUGGAGGGGCGUAGGGGGAUCUGGAACUUCCGGUGGAGCGGUGAAAUGCGUUGAGAUCGGAAGGAACGCCCGUGGCGAAAGCGAGGUCCUGGACGCCUACUGACGCUGAGACGCGAAAGCCAGGGAGCGAACGGG